rnacentral:piRNA from 1 species
UGCUUGCCAGGCCCUUGGUACUAACAC